GUAAUUAACAUGCAGAAAAGAUAGAAGACAGAAGCAAUGAGGAUGUUGCAGUUGACUCGUAUCACCGCUACAAGGACAAUGUUCAGAUUAUGAAGGAUAUGAAUUUGGAUGUUUACAAAUUUUACAUGGUCAAGAAUUCUUCUGAAGCUUGAUCUGUCAUGGAGAAAGGUGCAAGUAGGAAAUAGAGAGAAGGAAAGGAGAAGUGCAAGAGGUAUGAAAUUAAACUUUUAUUUUUCUGAACACUUACAACUAAAAAAAGGAUUGUUUCCAUAAGGCUAUGUUAUUGUUUAACAUGCGAUAUUGAUUUUAUUUAACAUAGGCUGAGUCAAUAAUAAGUAACAUACAAAUAUCUAUAGCUUUAUAAUGAUGAGGUGUACUAUUUUCAUAGGGAUUUGCUAUUCAUUGAUUAGCCACUAAUAAAACGUAGGUUGUAUCAUCUGUUCUAAUCCGAGUUGU